AUUGAACGCUGGCGGCAUGCCUUACACAUGCAAGUCGAACGGCAGCACGGGGGCAACCCUGGUGGCGAGUGGCGAACGGGUGAGUAAUACAUCGGAACGUGUCCUGUAGUGGGGGAUAGCCCGGCGAAAGCCGGAUUAAUACCGCAUACGCUCUAGGAGGAAAGGGGGGGAUCUUAGGACCUCCCGCUACAGGGGCGGCCGAUGGCAGAUUAGCUAGUUGGUGGGGUAAAGGCCUACCAAGGCGACGAUCUGUAGCUGGUCUGAGAGGACGACCAGCCACACUGGGACUGAGACACGGCCCAGACUCCUACGGGAGGCAGCAGUGGGGAAUUUUGGACAAUGGGCGAAAGCCUGAUCCAGCAAUGCCGCGUGUGUGAAGAAGGCCUUCGGGUUGUAAAGCACUUUUGUCCCGGAAAAGAAAA
rnacentral:rRNA from 1 species